rnacentral:tRNA from 1 species
ACCUGACUGGCUCAGUUGGAAGAGCGUUUGAUUCUUAACCUUGGGGUCAUGAGUUCGAGCCCCACGUUAGGUG